rnacentral:rRNA from 1 species
GUGAACGCUGGCGGUAGGCCUAACACAUGCAAGUCGAACGGCAGCACAGUAAGAGCUUGCUCUUACGGGUGGCGAGUGGCGGACGGGUGAGGAAUACAUCGGAAUCUACUUUUUCGUGGGGGAUAACGUAGGGAAACUUACGCUAAUACCUCAUACGACCUACGGGUGAAAGCAGGGGAUCUUCGGACCUUGCGCGAUUGAAUGAGCCGAUGUCGGAUUAGCUAGUUGGCGGGGUAAAGGCCCACCAAGGCGACGAUCCGUAGCUGGUCUGAGAGGAUGAUCAGCCACACUGGAACUGAGACACGGUCCAGACUCCUACGGGAGGCAGCAGUGGGGAAUAUUGGACAAUGGGCGCAAGCCAGAUCCAGCCAUACCGCGUGGGUGAAGAAGGCCUUCGGGUUGUAAAGCCCUUUUGUUGGGAAAGAAAAGCAGCAGGUUAAUACCCCGCUGUUCUGACGGUACCCAAAGAAUAAGCACCGGCUAACUUCGUG